GCCCCAUCUCUCAGGAUGAACCCCACGCCUCUGAGCCUCCAUGAUUCUGGCUUCAAAGUAAACGCUCUGAAGAGACGGGCAGAGG
rnacentral:snoRNA from 13 species